rnacentral:misc_RNA from 1 species
UACAGAGCCCACAAGCGUUAUCCGGAUUUAUUGGGCGUAAAGCGUCCGCAGGUUGUGCGGUAAGUUGAUGGUCAAAUGUUCGGGCUUAACUCGGACACUGCCAUCAAAACUGCCACACUCGAGGCUGGGAGAGGCAAGCGGAACGAUCGGUGUAGUCGUAAUAAGCGCUGAUAUCGAUCGGAACACCAAAGGCGAAGGCAGCUUGCUGGAACAUGCCUGACACUCAGGGACGAAAGCGUGGGUAGCGAAUGGG